UCCGAGUUGACCCCGGCAGUCUCUUAUGAGUCCCCACCAUUACGUGCUGGCAACAUAAGACGAGGGUUGCGCUCGUUGCGGGACUUAACCCAACAUCUCACGACACGAGCUGACGACAGCCAUGCACCACCUGUAUAGAUCCCUUGCGGACCCCGCAUCUCUGCGGGAUUUCCCUAUAUGUCAAACCCAGGUAAGGUUCUUCGCGUUGCAUCGAAUUAAUCCGCAUGCUCCGCCGCUUGUGCGGGCCCCCGUCAAUUCCUUUGAGUUUCAGCCUUGCGGCCGUACUCCCCAGGCGGGGCACUUCAUGCGUUAGCGCCGGCACCCAGGGGGUCGCUCCCCCAAGCACCUAGUGCCCAUCGUUUACGGCGUGGACUAC
rnacentral:misc_RNA from 1 species